rnacentral:rRNA from 1 species
CUAAGUUUGAUGGCGACCGGCGCACGGGUGAGUAACACGUAUCCAACCUGCCGAUGACUCGGGGAUAGCCUUUCGAAAGAAGGAUUAAUACCCGAUGGCAUAGUUCUUCCGCAUGGUAGAACUAUUAAAGAAUUUCGGUCAUCGAUGGGGACGCGUUCCAUUAGGUUGUUGGCGGGGUAACGGCCCACCAAGCCUUCGAUGGAUAGGGGUUCUGAGAGGAAGGUCCCCCACAUUGGAACUGAGACACGGUCCAA